UGGGCUGUCGCCAAGCGGUAAGGCACCGGACUUUGACUCCGGCAUAAACAAUCUGUGUUGAUUGUUCGUGGGUUCGAAUCCCACUAGCCCAG
rnacentral:tRNA from 1 species